CAGCGGAGGGGGACUGAGUAAGAUGGCCAAAAAUCACAGCCUUGUUAGAUGUAUAAGGAUGGAGGCGUAUGUUCAUAUCAGGUCUGUCAGGCCAGAUGGCACAAGGACCAUGGAGCUGCAGCUCUACCCUGACAGCAGGACUGGCUCACCUGCCGCGGAACCAGGAAACCAGCCCGGAGAGGGAUGCCGCCAAACAGAGUCCCUGCUUGGCCCUGAGGAAUGAUAAACCAGAGAGGAGGUGGAGGGAGCCGGGAAUGGUGGACGCAAGAACAAAGGGCCAUUAAGAGGGUCUGGGUUUCUUACAUUCUGCGACCUCAAGGUUGGCUGCGGAAGAUGUCCCCGGGGCAUAAAGGCUGAAUGGUGGCUGGGCAAAGAGAGAGAUGGUUCACUGGACGAUCUGGAUCAAUGCAACAGCUGCAAUGGGCCUUUCUGCCCAGCUGCAACCUGAACCUUUGCCAAAAAAUGGAGACUCAUGUAUCUGGUCCCAGUGGUCUAUUUCUAAACAUUUUCUACUGAUUAUGGGAUUGUGCCUGUGUAUAGUAAUAAUUUACUGAACUGUAUGCAGAAAAGAAGAAUUUCACUUACCUCGGUUCAUGAGAUAAUAAAGAUUCAUUGAACCAUUAAA